AGGGAAUCUUCCGCAAUGGGCGAAAGCCUGACGGAGCAACGCCGCGUGAGUGAUGAAGGUCUUCGGAUCGUAAAACUCUGUUAUUAGGGAAGAACAAAUGUGUAAGUAACUAUGCACGUCUUGGCGGUACCUAAUCAGAAAGCCACGGCUAACUACGUGCCAGCAGCCGCGGUAAUACGUAGGUGGCAAGCGUUAUCCGGAAUUAUUGGGCGUAAAGCGCGCGUAGGCGGUUUUUUAAGUCUGAUGUGAAAGCCCACGGCUCAACCGUGGAGGGUCAUUGGAAACUGGAAAACUUGAGUGCAGAAGAGGAAAGUGGAAUUCCAUGUGUAGCGGUGAAAUGCGCAGAGAUAUGGAGGAACACCAGUGGCGAAAGCGACUUUCUGGUCUGUAACUGACGCUGAUGUGCGAAAGCGUGGGGAUCAAACAGGAUUAGAUACCCUGGUAGUCCACGCCGUAAACGAUGAGUGCUAAGUGUUAGGGGGUUUCCGCCCCUUAGUGCUGCAGCUAACGCAUUAAGCACUCCGCCUGGGGAGUACGACCGCAAGGUUG
rnacentral:rRNA from 1 species